rnacentral:rRNA from 1 species
GAUGAACGCUGGCGGCGUGCCUAAUACAUGCAAGUCGAGCGAACGGACGAGAAGCUUGCUUUGCUGACGUUAGCGGCGGACGGGUGAGUAACACGUGGAUAACCUACCUAUAAUACUGGGAUAACUUCGGGAAACCGGAGCUAAUACCGGAUAAUAUUUUGAACCGCAUGGGUCAAAAGUGAAAGACGGUCUUGCGGGCACUUAUAGAUGGAUCCGCGCUGCAUUGGCUAGUUGGUAAGGUAACGGCUUACCAAGGCAACGAUGCAUAGCCGACCUGAGAGGGUGAUCGGCCACCCGGGAACGGAGCCACCGUCCCGACUCCUGCGGGAGGCCGCAGUCGGGAACCUUCCGCAAUGGGGGAAAGCAUGACGGAGCGACGCCGCGUGAGUUAUGGAGGUCUUCGGAUCGUAAAGCUCUGUUAUGGGUGAAGAACAUAUGUGGACGUAACUGUGCAGAUCUUGACGGUACCUAGUCAGAAAGCCCCGGCUAACUACGUG